GAUAUAUUCAAAUAUUUAUUGACCGCAUCAUGGCAUGUCAGUCACACAAAUCGAGUGGAAGAACGAAGCAACAAUAUUCUUUUCCUUUGUUGUCUCUCAACCUAUUCUAGUGGUAGCAUUCCGCUACUCCUCCUCCUGCUUGCACCACACCUACGGUUAGAGAAAAUUGCAAGCAUACGCAAACUUCUUUGGGGCAUGGGUUUCUUCUUGUCAAUAUGUUUGUUGUCGUUGUUGUUUGUUAUGCCGGUAUGUCGAAAAUGAUCAUCAUAUUGGCGUUAAUGAAUGAAAAUUUGCUGCCUGGAUGGUUGGUUGGUUGGUAAUCGACGGCGGACGUCAAAUAUUUGUAUAUGGCAAAUGUUCGCAAACACUUCAUUUCUCGUUGGCUCGGCCUUGCAGUUUGCAGAAUUUGCAAUUUACAAAUGUUUGUUUGGAAAAGGAGAAGAAAACACCAACAACAACAAAAAUAAAUACAAACAAAUGCAGACAGACAAA